GAUGAACGCUAGCGGCAGGCCUAACACAUGCAAGUCGAGGGGUAGAACACUUCGGUGUUUGAGACCGGCGCACGGGUGCGUAACGCGUAUGCAAUCUACCUUGUACAGGGGAAUAGCCCAGAGAAAUUUGGAUUAAUGCCCCAUAGUAUAUAACCUUCGCAUGUUGGUUAUAUUAAAGUUCCAACGGUACAAGAUGAGCAUGCGUCCCAUUAGUUAGUUGGUAAGGUAACGGCUUACCAAGACGAUGAUGGGUAGGGGUCCUGAGAGGGAGAUCCCCCACACUGGUACUGAGACACGGACCAGACUCCUACGGGAGGCAGCAGUGAGGAAUAUUGGUCAAUGGGCGCAGGCCUGAACCCGCCAUGCCGCGUGCAGGAAGGCGGUCCUAUGGAUUGUAAACUGCUUUUAUACAGGAAGAAACCCUCCCACGUGUGGGAGAUUGACGGUACUGUAGGAAUAAGGAUCGGCUAACUCCGUGCCAGCCGCCGCAGUAAAAC
rnacentral:rRNA from 1 species